rnacentral:rRNA from 1 species
UACGUAGGGUGCAAGCGUUAAUCGGAAUUACUGGGCGUAAAGCGUGCGCAGGCGGUUGUGCAAGACAGAUGUGAAAUCCCCCGGGCUCAACCUGGGAACUGCAUUUGUGACUGCACGGCUGGAGUGCGGCAGAGGGGGGAUGGAAUUCCGCGUGUAGCAGUGAAAUGCGUAGAUAUGCGGAGGAACACCGAUGGCGAAGGCAAUCCCCUGGGCCUGCACUGACGCUCAUGCACGAAAGCGUGGG